GCGAGGGUAGUUCAGUGGUAGAACGUCUCGUUGCCAACGAGAAGGUCGCGGGUUCAAUCCCCGUCCCUCGCUCCA
rnacentral:tRNA from 1 species